UUCCUAGUUUGUGACUUGCAAAUUAUCUCUCUGAUUCGGCCGGCAGAUCUCUCAAGAUUGGUCGUUUUGGAGAUAGAACGCUGGUGUUGAGGCUGUGUUCACCGUCUUGGAUUUCACCCCCCACAGCCUUCAUCUUGGUCGCCGCCGUGGCGUCAGCAACACCAGAUCUCUCCAGAUUGAUUGUUUUGGAGGGAGAACACUGGUGUUGAGGCUGAGAGCUCCGAGGCACUCUCUUGGAUUUCACCGCCACAACCUUCGUCUUGGUCUCUGCAGUGGCCUCGACACACCGGUACACAACCGCCCGGUCUUCACUCAGGCACUCAGCUCAGCCUAAUUUGAG